GAUGUCAGACUCAGUAACUAUAACGACACACAGCCAGCAUCUGUCAGAGAAGUCCCUUUGUGGUUCAUUGACCACACCAUACAUGGAGUCAGUGUGGGAAACUGAGCUCAACUUGUUACUCACACUGACGACAAGGCACGUGUCAAAAGACUCUUCUACAUCUGGACAGCAGCAUGAUUGUUGUGUUUAUGUGUUUCUAUACAUGUUUUUGCCAUAAAUGAUCAUUACAUUAUUUUUAAAUGUGUGAAAAGAUAAGAGUUUGAAAAUGAAAAGACAUCUAACUAAAUGAUCUAUUCAAAAUAGAGAGAUAUGAUGUGCUACUUUUGCAAGACCUAUUUUUAUCAUAUUUGAAAUUAAAACAUUACAUCACAAUGUGAUGAUGGGAUGAUGAGCGUGUGCUCAGUCAGUCAUUGAUCCCAGCAUCAGGCAGCAGAUCUGUUCUCUACAGGGUCACCACUUUCCCAGAAUCACACAGAGCUCUGUGGGUCUCUCCAUCACCCCCCCUGUCCUCCACCUGUUCCCCUGGGAUUUAAACAUUGUCCCCCAGGCAAUAACAGCAGUAAGUGGGCUGCAUCCCCUAUUGUGCCACCGAGCUCUCUGAUUGGCUGAGACUGUGAGAAAGUGCAGUCAGACCCAGACCCACACAUUCAUAUGGAGAUGUGGGACUAUAAAUAGGAGGGAUGAAGCCAGCAGAGAUCAGAUUCUCUCUACAGAGACCUCUACAGCACAGAGAUCCAGACAUGGCACCUACAACCACUGCAGCAAUGACCAGUUCUCAGGAGCAUCUCACUCUGACCCACAAGCUCAGAAAGCCUGUGGUGGAGAAGUUACGCAGAGAGAGAAUCAACAGCAGCAUUGAGCAGCUCAAGUCUCUGCUGGGUCCAGAGUUCCUCAAACAGCAGCCAGACAACAAGCUGGAGAAAGCAGACAUCCUGGAGAUGACCGUUUGUGUCCUGACACAGCUGCAGCAGCAGAAUCAAAAGCAGAGAAGACUGCUGAACCACUUCAACAAGCUGCAGGCUUCCUCUGAGAAGAACCUGAGAGAGGCUGACUUCUCUCUUCUGAGCUCCACAGUCCAGACCAGCAUCACCAAAGAGAAGAGUGCAGUCAACAGCGCCCCCUGGAGGCCGUGGUAGAGACCUACACACCAGAGUUACUACCAGACAAACUGAGAUGAUCAUAUUGGUCAAAGAUUACUGGAAGUGAAUUCUUCUGAAUUCUUUAUGAACUUGUUCUUCUGUUUGUACAGAAGGUUGUGUUUUGUGUUGUUUUCCUGAGGAAACAUCAGCAACAAUAUCUUUCAGGUUAAGAAAGAGAACAUCAUGUCAUGCAUGUUGCAUGAACCAAAUCUGAUUGCAUCAGCAGUUAUUAUUAUACCUCAGUGUAUUUCAUGUACUGUCAGAAUACAGUGCUGUGGUUACAUUUGUAAUCUUUUCAUUGUUAUUGAUCGUUUUGAUCAGAAACUUUAACUGUUCUUUUUAUGGACAUAUUGUCAAAGAGGACUUUACCUCAUUUUGAUGAAAACGACUCAAAACUGAUCUGUUGUUAGAUCCAAAUGUUUAUUCUGUUGUUUCUAAAAGUUUUGCUUAAUGUCACAAUUGUCCUGUGACACUUUUAUUCCUCACUGUAAGUCAUGUGUUGGUAAAUAUUAUGUAAUGGGGAGAUUUGUUACCUCUUAAUUAGAAUUGAUCAUUUUGAUCAGAAACUUAACUGUUCUUUGUACGGACAUGUUGCCACAGUUGACUUCCCUUCACUUCAUGUGAUUAUUGAAAGAUGAUCUGUUUUAAGAUCAAUAUGUGUAUCCUUUACUGUAAAAGGUUUGUUAAAUGUCACGCUUUCACGCUUUUCCAGUGACAAUGUAAUUCUUAUAUGUUUAGAAUCAAUUGAAUUGAAUGCUUAUUAAGAAUGAUGUGACCUGUUGUAAGGUCAGUUUUUACUGUUGUGUUUGUUCAUUAAUUGAAAAUGUUUUAAUCCAUUUGGGAAAACUAAUCUCAAAAGGACAGUGAGUACUGUGUCCUCAAAUAUUGUAAAUCUUUUGUCUUUUAUAAAGACAGUUGUUCCUCUACUCUCUGAGUACAGUGUGUCUUGUAGAGAUCUACAAGUUGUUGUUGUGAUGAAUCAUCACCUCUAGUUGGAGCUUUCAUGUGGCUCAUUGUGCCUUGUUGAA